rnacentral:lncRNA from 13 species
GAACAACUAAAGUGCCUCUGUAUUAUGUCAGAACUACAGAAAGAGGUUUUUCUUGAAAGUAAUUUCUGAAGAUCAUUAGACAGGAGUAUUGAUACCUAUCUUAUCUCCUAACACGUGAAGAUUAAAUAAGAGCAUGAAUAUUAGGAUUCUUCGUAAUGCACAAAUUGCCAUACAAAUGCAAGAACAAUGGAAGCACUGCAUAAAACUAACUCAGCUGGUUUCACAUCACUUUUUGGUACACACGUAUCCUAUGAACACUCACUAUCUAUGGAUUACUGAUAAAGAGGAAGUUCAAGGACAGAGACCUGUGGAACCCAGCCUCUCCUACUCCAUGUCCAGGAACAGAAGAGAUGAACACAAUGGAGAGCUUGCCUUUGGGUUUUGUUUCCAAAUCAGAAUCUCAUCUUAA